AAGGACCCAAAAGCAGACCAGGACCCAAAAGCAAUUGAGUCCUUCUUUUCUUUUUACAACUUACAAGUCUUUUUCUUGCCUUAUGUCUUGCUGUCUGCCUCUCUGAUUUUCGGUCUGCCUUCUUCUCUUUAAGACAAUAUAGCACUCUGACUGUGAGUCUGAUUUUUAACUUGUAGGAAGGCUCAAUAUGUCAGUGACUGGAAUUACUGGCACUAGCCCCAACUGGAAUGAAAAUUUCUAACUAUAUCAUUGACCAAAAUUGUUGAAUUAAAAAAUUCUGAGAAGCAACCACAUACAAAGUCAUCAAAUUUAAGGUGCCUGGCUUUGUCACUCAUAGCUCCUAAUCUAGUAUCAUAUAUAUGGAUAGACACCCUAGAUAUGUUCCCUGAGAAUCAUAGAAAGGCAAGGGGGAGGAAAGUGCCUCAGAUAAGAAAUGUUUAUAUAUUUUCCAGGCAUCUACAUAACACCCCACAUGUUUAGAUUCCUUUCUUAGUUUUCUUCCUUGCUGAGGUGAGGAAUUUCUCACAUGAAUCCUGAGGGAGGACCAGCUGAUGCAGGCCUCUCCUAUUCUUAACUGAAGUCCAAAAGAGAGAAAAAUCUGAGGUAACAAGGUCUGUUAUCCCUGAGACAGAACUCAGCCUGGUAACCUGGGAGAGAAAUGCAAAGCCUUUGAGAUGCUCUCCUUCAGCCCCUUCCAAUAAUUAGUAGGUAUUUUUUUCUCCAAGCUUUGGAUCCUGGUGUCUGGAAGAUGUGGCCAUGGAUUUUUAUUGUCAGCUAGAGUAGAUCAAGCAAUAUCUCAUGAUGUAACUAUGAGCUGAUUGUAAAAUUUCUCUGUGUGUACACAGACUCAUUGGACAAAGUACUCUCCUAACUCAGGUGAGUCCUGUAAGCUAAACAGCCAGAGAAAUGGAAAACUUUUGCUGUGUCUCCCCUGGUACAGACAUGUCUUCUUUGUUCUUAGUUCCUAUCUCUAGAUUUUUGCCUCUGGACUCAAGGUCUGGACUUGUGUUGUCCUGUGUACUUCUGAGUGUUGCCUUAAACUUAACCUGACACACAUGUCUUACAAGGUUUGUGACUUCCAGACAUAGAUUGAGCCAAACACCUAAUAUCCCGUAGCAUCCACCUUGAAGAAAGUGUGGGACAUUUUACCAGGAGCUGUGAGGUUGUGAGAAACCCCAUCAAGUAUUAACGUGUUGCAGACAGGACAAAUAUAUACACAGAGUCCAGACCACCACAGUCUGUCUGUAGUCAUGUUAUGUUGUAUGGAUGAGGAAGUCCCUUUGUGGCCUUAGAACUUCAGGGCAAGCUCAGAAAUUUCUUUACAAUCGAAUUACAGACACAUCCAGAAAUAUUGAUUUCUGCACAAGACAACAGCAAGGCAGUUAAAAAAAAAGACACCAUUCAUCACAGGAGGUUCUUAUCAUAGGAGAGUAAAUGGAUUCAUGGAAACAGAAGUCUGAGGACAUGGCAGAUGAUCCAGUGUUCUCUGUUGGGAUCAGUGCUCCAGACUUCAGACAACUCUACCUUGCCUUACUUUUGAGCUUCAGUGUUACUCCUGUGUGGUUGACCCAGAUGCAGUGGAAGCACGUCUAUACCAGGUUGUCCAAGUCAGAAACCUGUGGUGACUCACCCAGCCUUCCCUCGAUGAAUGUUUUUGCAGCCUCCUUGGCAGAUGCUGAUUUUCAUGGGGUUACUUCAUCACAUGAUUCCUUUUGUAAAGACUCUACUGGUGGGCUGAAGGUUCUUUUUGGUAAUGUUGCUCCAUGGCCCACCUCCUUACCUUUGUUUCUUUCACCAUAGAGUUGUGCAAAAGGAAAGGAAGCCCAUUUAGAAAAUCCUGCCAUACACAGGAUUUCUCUUAUGUCUUCCCAGAAGGCUUUCUUCUGGUCUAUUUUCUCUUCUUUAUUCUUCUGCAGGAAGGCAAAAGGAUUUGGGUCAAUACUUCAAUUCUUGGAAGAAAAGUCUUGUUAGUAUAGAUAUGAAUCAAGUAUAGUUCUGUUCAGGUCUGACAGCUUAGCCUAGGUUCUGUACCUCUAGUUUGGUGGAAACCCACUAUUUCCUGCUUUUUCAGUUCCUGUACGUCUAUCAGUCUUCAGUAAUGUUUGGUCUCAGUUUUCUUAUUACCGUACUCGAUUGUGUGUGUGUGUGUGUGUGUGUGUGUGUGUGUGUGUGUGUGUGUGUGUGUACACGUGUGCAUGCGCACAGGAGCACAAAAUGCAUGUGGAGCUCUUUCCUAGAAUCACACAAUCCACUGAAACAGCACAAAACUACUAGGAAAAGACAAUGUACUUGACACACAAUUCUGUUUCCUUGCUCCUCCUCACUGAUUUUUUCUUCCAGGUAGUUUGUGUAUUCUUCUUUGUACUCCCUUAGAAUCUUCUCCUUCAGCUCCUCUGCCCUCUCAAACCUGUUUUUUAUAGUCUGCAAUACAAUACCAAAAUGGAGAAUCAGGACAGUUCUAAUAUCAGAAAAGAGACAAAGAAAACAAGUAAGGAGAGGCAACAAUAUCUCAUUUGUGACUUGAACUCCAUUCCCUGCCAGCCCCUUCUCUUUACUGAACUCCUAAGGCAGCAUUUCCUUCCCUUUGAACUAGUGUCAGCAUCUGUGGCUUUUCUAUGUGCAGCCUUGCACUCCUCUGGAGAUAUUUGGUUAGCCACAUAGAGAAUGAAGUCCCACCUUGAUGAUGUUUGCUCUUCUAGCACUGGCAGCAUAGUUUUUAUAUUUCCUUUCCUUGGGAAGUUUCAACACAUAGAGUCUAAAGGAAUAGAGUAGAGUGACUAGGCUACACAGAUAAAUUGAAAUAUACAACUGUGAACUUGAGGAAAUUUGGCUUGAGUAUGCAUGGUUUCAGAAGUUCCUGGAGUUUAAAAACUCACAUCCUGAAAUCCAACAUCCAUUCCCAUCCCUGUGCCUGGAGAGAGAAGUACCUUAGUCUUCCACUAACCUGGCACAUUCAGCAAACAUUACUUGUCAACGAGCACAGCUAGUCUGACACAGUGCAUGUUCGCCAUCUCAGCACUCAGAAGGGACCAGGUAGACCCACUGAGCCUUGAGGUAAAAGGUUGUACUCCUGAACUUCAAACUAGGAAAUAAAGACAGCAGUCUCUAUAUUCCAUUCCCAUUCACGAUUUGAAUCUUUGCACACAGCUCCUCUGUAUAUUGCUUAGCAGACUUGCACCACCUCACCUCACAGAUCAUUAGGUAAUGAUAGGAGACACUGAGGUUACUUAGUGCUGUGGGCAUUUAAUCAAAUGCUGCACCUUGAGAUUCUGCUAAACUGCUUUAUCCCUCAGAUCUGUCCACAAUUCAAAAAAAAAGAUCAACUCUGUAAGAAAUUCUACUUGAGAGGAAGAUAUGACCAGAAACUCAGUAUGGAAAGCUGAUGUCAGGGAUGACAUAUGAGUCCCUGGGAAGAGAUAUUUGCUUUUGGAACAGGGAAGAAAUGAGGGGAGAUUACUAUGGUCUUAAGAGAAUGCCUGCACUUUACUGAAAACCACCAAUGGACAACGAAAAGUACCUCAGUUCUAGGAGUUGAACAAUAUAAAUAAUGCAAACUGCGCUACCUGAGCUCAUCUGUAAAUCAGAGCUUUGUCCUCUGUGAAAGAGGAAGGUGAAGCUAUGCACACAGUCUUCUGGAGAUCAAUGAAGUCAUGAUCAGAAAAAUUCCUCCCUUGCAACCCAAUCUCUGAGUACCUUAGAGUCACGGGUAACUUCAUAUGUACUCUUUGACCAAACUCAGGGCCAUUCAUGCUUUGUGUGACAUUUUCUGUUAUUCUGUUAUUCAAAGGCAAAGCACCCCUUGUCACUAAGGCUUUUUAGGUUAUUUCUUGGUGACAGCUCUGUAAUUUAUUUUUCUUCUGCCUACCCAAUAUGAUGAACAGUCUGUAGAAGGCAAGCUCUGCUUAACCACACUGACUCCAGGUGGUCCACCAUCCUCUGGUGACUGUGUAGCUACAGGAAGGCCUACCUCUCCCCCAUACACCUCAAGAGUCUUGGCCACCCAUCAGAGACAACUAUGUAUCUGCUUGAGAGGAGAUUUGGAAGUCUAAAUACUCACUAGUUCAGCGACACCCUGUUUUUCUUCCAACCUUUCUUCCCCUGUGAGCUGUACUAUGUGUGCACAAGGCUUAAGAACUAAGUAUACUACUAAUGAAAUUAUUUAUUUAUGAUAUCAGCACUUUUGUUCCCCAUAUCUUUCGACUGCAAGGAAAAACAUAUGUGUGCACUGCCAGACAUCUGAGUACAAGUUGACGUCCACAGAUUCCAUGGGCGUCAGCAAGGAAAGAAAUCUAUAUAGAAAAGCAGGAUGAGAUAGUGAGGAGUCUCAGGAAAGGAGAUAGAAACUGCAGGUUUCUCACGUUAGAAAUUUAUGAUUUGGCACAAAGGCUGCUUUUUCUUCUCCACAUUUAUCCUGUUUCGCUGCCAUUUUGAUGAGAUCUUUCUCAAACUCAUGUAUGUGGCCAAGGAAAAAUUGUUGUUGAUUUCAAUGUUCUGCCCAAGAGCACUUAAAAUUUGGAACGGCUCGUUUGGAGGGAGAGUGACAUCAUCAUGUCAUGGAUGUUCUAAGACAUAAAAGACAGGAAAAUGUCAAAACCCUCUUUCUGCCAUGCUGUAAUUCAAACUCUCGAGCCCAAACACACACACACACACACACACACACACACACACACACACACACACACACACACACACAUAGAUAUUAGUCUAAACACAGAAAAAGACACUGAGAUUUUCAAUUUCCUUCACAUAAUUUCAUGCAUAUUAUCUUUAUUCGUAACUGUAUUGAGACUUACUACAUUUGCUGUUUCAGCAGAAAAUGAUCUUUUAUUUCCUAGACUCUGUUGUUGUGAGUGCCUAGGUAUCAAAAGCUUCUCUCCUGUCAUAAGAGAUAAAAUGUACAAGUUGUAAGGAGAGGAGAUCCUUUGCCUCUCUGGAAAUGAUUGUAAAUUUAUGUUAGUGCAUGCAUUGCUAAAGAAAUGCCCACUGUGCCAUCUUGAAUCUCCACUGAAAAUUCCUAGGGGAAAAAAAACAAUGGUUUAAACCUAUUUUUCAUGAAAAUUUUGAGUCUGUCAAUGCGCAAUGCAGGUUGUGUCUACCAUCCUGCUUCAUUCACUGAACUUCAGGAUUAGAGCCUGGAUCCCCAUGGCCACCAAGUGCUCAAAUAGCACAUCUGAACAAGGAAUACGGGUUCUGACACUACUUUUAGAAAGUCUGCCUGGGGGACCACAGCAUGAACACAGUUGUCCCUGGGUCCUAGGCAUGUCACUCAGUCCCAUUGCUCUGUUCUGAAGGUUCCAUUUUAACCAUAAACUCCAGACCCAUGAGGGUUAUACUCUCAUUCCUGAGUAGGACACAGCUGCCUGUCCAGACAGGUCAGCCAGGACAACCUUGUUCAUGGAGGGUUGGCAAAUUUGACAGCAGCUUUUCUUCACUUCCCAAUACUGCCUUUGAAAAGUGCUAACAUUCAGAUGCUAACGUGGAAACUUGGUGGAAGAUGGUUGCCACAGUUAGGAAUCUUGCCUCUGUGGGCUUCUGUGUACACCCCAGCUCUAUGUCUGCUUCUCCGGACAACCUCUCAUGGACCAAAUGGGUGCUUUCUCUAUACUGUGCUCUCCUAAACACUCAACCUUCAAUUGAGCCCAGACCCCAUUUGGUUGGGCUCUCCCUGUUAGUUAUCUCACUAUGGAAUGUGAACAUCCAGUCAGUGAAAGUGGAAAUGCUAUGUCAAGAAUCAUAAGUUCAGAUAUAUCAGGGCCAAAACUGAUGCUAGGGCACUAGAUUCUAGUUCAGUACUUUUCAUCAUGCUUCCACCCUGUCUGGCUUUCUCAAAAUAUAUGGGAAAAUUCAAGGAAAGAAUGUUUAAAUGACUUUCCUCAUCAGACUUUGUGAAGUGUGUAAUAUUAGAACAGUUUUAAGAAUCAGAUAGUUAAGGACACUGUCAGAUUUCAUGAACAAAACCCCACAUGUUUUGGACUAGUUUUCUCCUCAUUAUAAGGACUCCACGAUGACUCAUGUGUGGACUGGCCAGAAGGUAUAACAAUAUCAUAAAUCUAUACUGGUAAUCCUAGUUCAAGAAUUUCUGUGUAGUGGCAACUCACAUAAAUUAGAGAUGUAUAACUCAGUUUUACUGAAUUCCUCUUACUGAAUUCCUGUCAUUGCUUUAUAGCUUUGUAAUUCCUUACGCUUAGGAAGAUUGUAUUGUGUCUUGUGAAGUAGAUGACUCUGAGGCUCAGAAAUCAGCUUUAUCUUGAUGUCCAAUCCCAGAGAGACUAGGUCACCAUGAUUUUUCCCGUUCAUGUCCUCUCUGAAGGUCAGAGGAGAAGAAAACACCCAGCACAGUCUCAGUCUUUUAGAACAUGUCAACAUGUGCUCAGAAGGAAUUCUAUUUUUUUUUCUGUAAUUAUUUUGACUUCAUGGCCAGAGCUAACCUGUAAUUCAUAAUUCAUCGUAGAGUUGAGGUGAACCAUCACUAGUCUUUCUGCCUCAGCCACUUGGGUGCUGGAGUUGCACCAUUGACCCCAGACACUGCACUAAGAAUUGGUACCACAGUAUAUUCAUCGAAUGCUCAUUUUCCUAAUUGUCAAGCAUCACCAGCAUUUAAGGACUCAGAAGACGAAAUUUAAAAACUAAAGGUGUUUUCCUGAUAAGCUGCUCUUGCUAUUCACUCCCUGUCUCAGUCUCUGAUUCCUUCCUGGUCUAUUGGUCAUUUGACCUAUAUGUUCACUAAAUCCUUCUCUGUUUGCUAAGUACUGAGCAAUUUCUAUCCAGUGUGUUUUUUUAAAUUUAUUUUUAUAUCAUUAUUUCUCUGACUUCAGUAUUCUUUGCUGAGCUCUCAGUUUUACUUGGUUAAAGCUUCUGUGUUCUAUGUUCACCUUUUAUCCAUUUUCCUCUAUUCUCUCCUUUCCUUCCCCUGUGCCAUGUUUUUUAAUUUUCUUGAAGUUUCCAGGUACGUGUGGUCUAAUCUUUUGCUAAAUAACCCCUAACUUACCUUCUCGAGAACAUUAGGUAUCUAACUGCCCUUUGGUCCCCCCUACUAUUUUAGUGGUCUUUAGGCAGAAGUUUUCUAAAACCAGGAAUGCUAAUUUUUAAAUUUUAUUCGUUUCAUUUUAUUUCUCGAGUAAUUGCCUUAUACACCCAGAUUGGCUCUUCUGAAGUUACUGUCCAACAGAGACUGUGGUGUUCUCCUUGGAUUUCAUACCUUGGCUUUCCAAGGACUGACAUUACAUGUGAAUGCCACCAUAUCCUAGUUAAUUACAUUAGGAGUUAGUUUGUGCUGUCAGUCAGGGAUGUGUGGUUAUCUGUAAAACAUUUACCAAAACUAGGUGGCAACUUCCUCCAUCAAUAAGGUAUCCAUCUUUAACACAGUGUAUAGAACCAGGGAGAGCACAGUUGUUCCUGUACCUUUGUCGGUAACAAACUAUCCUUCUGUCAGGGGAAGAAGACUUUCUUUAUCCAACAUUUUCAGAGAGCACAAAUGUGCAACCAAGGAAGAGAAAGGUACAUCUAUUUGUUGGCAAAGUCUAGUCAAUCACAGCUGCUGAUUGAACAGUGGCAGAUGGCUUGUUGAAUCUCCUCAUCUCAACAUUACUCUUAAAUAGCCCCACCUCUGAAGUACUAUUGCGGAAAACUCUGUGGAGGCUGUCAGCAGAAGAGAAGCAUCUUGGCCCUCAGUAUUCAUGUGUCUAUACCCAGUUCUCUCUAUAUAUCUGUUGAGACAGUCCCCAAACUAUCUAGUUUCCUCCUCUAUAAUCUGCUCCAAAAGACUCAAUUCCCUAGAUCGCAAGUAAAUGUGCAGUCCGAAGUUACAACCCUUGGAAAUUUCAGAGCAAAGAUCAUAGUUAGGGCACUAUCUUGUCCUUCAGUACUUUCCCCUUAAUCCCUCCUUAUUUUGAUAUUUUCCAAUUUGUGAGACUGUCCAAUUAAAUCAGCAUGUUAGUUUGUUUUCCUACCUGACAUUGUGGAGGCAGGAAUACAGGUAGAGGUAUAGGUUCUGGAUAAAGGGAUAAGGAAACGGGUUAUUGGGUUUCGCAAGAAAAACAAAUCACGUGUGCGAUGAAGCAGAUCAACUGAACACUGGACCAGAAUUGUUUACUCAGCUCCAUGGUAACCUCAAGAUUCUAUCAGGUGCUGAUUGGCUAAGAGGGAAAAUGAUGUUAUAAGGCAGAUGAAAGCCAAUAUUAAUCUUAGAAACCAUGUUUUAAAAGAGACAGAGUAGACAACAAUCUAGAAAGGAAGGCUAGAACAGCCCUGUCUGGCUGCAAUGUGGGCGGUUGAAAGCAUACAACCCAGAAAUGAUGACGACUAUUUCCAAGACUCUUAGUUCAGAAAGAGUGCCACGCGUUUCCUACACGUGGCCAUUCAUAAAGUCAUGUAUGACUGAAAUGUGAUUACACAUCCCAAAAGAUAAUACUGAACUUACAGGACCUAGGAAUGCAAACCCAGGAAGCAUCAGCAUACAUGAUUAUGUUACAUUAUGUAAAGAGGACAAAGAUGCAGUGAAAACAGCUCAGGGUGGAGGAAAUGGCAGCUGUCUGUUGCAAUGUGAUGCUGUUCAUUUUGUAUGUGAGAAAAUAUGUCUGACAAUAAGCUCAGUUCAACAAGCACAUUGAAGAUCUUGGAGGACACAGAAAUGAGGAAUAUUCUGCAGAAGUACACACCUGUGGAAUCUUAGCAAUCAGAAAAAAAGCCAACAGCAGCAUCAACAGCAGCAUCAACAGCAGCAUCAACAACAGCAUCAACAGCAGCAUCAACAGCAGCAUCAACAGCAGCAUCAACAGCAGCAUCAACAGCAGCAUCAACAGCAGCAGCAGCAGCAGCAGCAGCAGCAGCAGCAGCAGCAACAACAACAACAACAAAAACCCAAAAGUUCACCUGAGCUCCUAUGUGUGUUUUCUGCCGCUUUACAGAGAGAAAAUGGGGAGCUACUGUGCUACCAUAGCUGAAUAGAUGUUUAAUUGGAGCUUGA